AUCUCAUCAUAUCUGUCAUUGUAAUUGGUCCUCAUAGCUUCCACCAGCUUAGCCAGAGCACCCUUGUCUUCCGAGUUAACCUGUGUGAAGGCAACAGUGGUGCAUGUCUUCCUGUCGACCAGGUGCCCCAGCCUGGCCUUCCGUUGAUGGUGCAGUAGGGCACCCCCAUCUUUCGACAUAGGGCAGACAGGAAAACCACCAGCUCAAUAGGAUCUAUGUCAUGGGCAGUCACCAGCUGAGCCUUCUUCUCCACCAAGGUGGUGACUGUAUUAACUCCUGCUCGGAGGACAGGUGGCCUCUUAGUUGGGACAUCCCCUUUGCCUGCAGCUUUCUUCUCAGCACAGGCCAGCAGCCUUUGCUUCUUCUCUUGCUUUGUCUCUGGUCUGUACUUGUGGGCAAGCUUAAGCAGCUGAGUAGCUGUUUGCUUGUCUAGGGCCUGAACUGGUUAAUGGCAGGAGGUACUUUGAGCCACUUAUAGAGGAUGGCUCUUUGCCGCUGCAGCCUGAUGUAGUGGGACUAUUUAACAAAGCGUGUUAGAUCUCUUUUGGGCUGAAUGUCCUUCCCAAUGCCAAAGUUCUUGGGCCUUUUUUCAAAGGAUUGACUACCUUUUUGGCCUUCUGUUUCUUGAUGAUGGCAGGGGCCGAGGCCACCUUCUUCCCCUUGGCCUUCUUUCCUUUGG
rnacentral:lncRNA from 1 species